GUUGUCUUAAUUGCUCAACAGAUAGAGCAGUGGAGGUUAAAAGUUCCAACCUUGUGUAUUUAGAAAAUAUAAUAACUUGCCACUAAAAUUUAUAAGCUGCAUGCAUUGCUCAACAUUCAGGUCUUUGCUUUAAAUAUCACUCCAGUGUUACUAUAGACACGUAAAAACGCACAAGUCGUAACAAUCCUGCAGUAUACAUCAUACAUGCAGACUUGUAGCAAUGCUGUUCCAACAAUUUGUCAACAGGAUGUGUUCGCACUGCUUGUCCCAGCUUGUUGACAACUUGCUACAAAGUUACAACAGUCCUGUUACAAGUUGUUUCAACAACUUGUUCGAACAACUUGUUAUCGUCCUGCAAUUCAACAAUUUGUCAAAAAGUAGUGAGUUACAACCUUGUUAGCCUGCGUGCAGGCCCAAGGGAACUGGUAGUGGGCCUGCAACCAUCACCCCAUGUUUUCGAUUUUCGCCGGCCGAACCGCCGGCUAAAUUCCCAUUGGCUAGCUGAGG